rnacentral:rRNA from 1 species
ACCUACGGGGCGCAGCAGUAGGGAAUCUUCGGCAAUGGGCGAAAGCCUGACCGAGCAACGCCGCGUGAAUGAAGAAGGCCUUCGGGUUGUAAAAUUCUGUUAUAAGGGAAGAAAGGUGAUAGGAGGAAAUGACUAUCAAUUGACGGUACCUGCAGAAGAAGCCACGGCUAACUACGUGCCAGCAGCCGCGGUAAUACGUAGGUGGCAAGCGUUAUCCGGAAUUACUGGGUGUAAAGGGUGUGUAGGCGGGGCUGCAAGUCAGAUGUGAAAAUUAUGGGCUCAACCCAUAACCUGCGUCUGAAACU